rnacentral:misc_RNA from 1 species
GCAAACUUGGUCAUUUAGAGGAAGUAAAAGUCGUAACAAGGUCUCCGUUGGUGAACCAGCGGAGGGAUCAUUACAGAGUUAUAUAAAACUCCCAAACCCAUGUGAAAUAUACCUCUUUUGUUGCCUCGGCAGGUCGUGCCUACCCUGUACUUACCCUGUAAGCCUAUUCUGUAGGCUCGGGGAGGUUACCCUGUAGCACGAUAAAGGCCUGCCGGCGGCCCCUUAAACUCUUGUUAGCACAUUGGAAUUCUGAGUAUUAUAACUAAAUAAGUUAAAACUUUCAACAACGGAUCUCUUGGUUCUGGCAUCGAUGAAGAACGCAGC